UUGAAGAGUUUGAUCAUGGCUCAGAUUGAACGCUGGCGGCAGGCCUAACACAUGCAAGUCGAGCGGUAACACAGAGAGCUUGCUCUCGGGUGACGAGCGGCGGACGGGUGAGUAAUGUCUGGGAAACUGCCUGAUGGAGGGGGAUAACUACUGGAAACGGUAGCUAAUACCGCAUAACGUCGCAAGACCAAAGUGGGGGACCUUCGGGCCUCAUGCCAUCAGAUGUGCCCAGAUGGGAUUAGCUAGUAGGUGGGGUAAUGGCUCACCUAGGCGACGAUCCCUAGCUGGUCUGAGAGGAUGACCAGCCACACUGGAACUGAGACACGGUCCAGACUCCUACGGGAGGCAGCAGUGGGGAAUAUUGCACAAUGGGCGCAAGCCUGAUGCAGCCAUGCCGCGUGUAUGAAGAAGGCCUUCGGGUUGUAAAGUACUUUCAGCGAGGAGGAAGGCGUUAAGGUUAAUAACCUUGGCGAUUGACGUUACUCGCAGAAGAAGCACCGGCUAACUCCGUGCCAGCAGCCGCGGUAAUACGGAGGGUGCAAGCGUUAAUCGGAAUUACUGGGCGUAAAGCGCACGCAGGCGGUCUGUCAAGUCGGAUGUGAAAUCCCCGGGCUCAACCUGGGAACUGCAUUCGAAACUGGCAGGCUAGAGUCUUGUAGAGGGGGGUAGAAUUCCAGGUGUAGCGGUGAAAUGCGUAGAGAUCUGGAGGAAUACCGGUGGCGAAGGCGGCCCCCUGGACAAAGACUGACGCUCAGGUGCGAAAGCGUGGGGAGCAAACAGGAUUAGAUACCCUGGUAGUCCACGCCGUAAACGAUGUCGACUUGGAGGUUGUGCCCUUGAGGCGUGGCUUCCGGAGCUAACGCGUUAAGUCGACCGCCUGGGGAGUACGGCCGCAAGGUUAAAACUCAAAUGAAUUGACGGGGGCCCGCACAAGCGGUGGAGCAUGUGGUUUAAUUCGAUGCAACGCGAAGAACCUUACCUACUCUUGACAUCCAGAGAACUUAGCAGAGAUGCUUUGGUGCCUUCGGGAACUCUGAGACAGGUGCUGCAUGGCUGUCGUCAGCUCGUGUUGUGAAAUGUUGGGUUAAGUCCCGCAACGAGCGCAACCCUUAUCCUUUGUUGCCAGCGGUUAGGCCGGGAACUCAAAGGAGACUGCCAGUGAUAAACUGGAGGAAGGUGGGGAUGACGUCAAGUCAUCAUGGCCCUUACGAGUAGGGCUACACACGUGCUACAAUGGCAUAUACAAAGAGAAGCGACCUCGCGAGAGCAAGCGGACCUCAUAAAGUAUGUCGUAGUCCGGAUUGGAGUCUGCAACUCGACUCCAUGAAGUCGGAAUCGCUAGUAAUCGUAGAUCAGAAUGCUACGGUGAAUACGUUCCCGGGCCUUGUACACACCGCCCGUCACACCAUGGGAGUGGGUUGCAAAAGAAGUAGGUAGCUUAACCUUCGGGAGGGCGCUUACCACUUUGUGAUUCAUGACUGGGGUGAAGUCGUAACAAGGUAACCGUAGGGGAACCUGCGGUUGGAUCACCUCCUU
rnacentral:rRNA from 1 species